UACAGAGGGUGCAAGCGUUAAUCGGAAUUACUGGGCGUAAAGCGAGCGUAGGUGGCUUGAUAAGUCAGAUGUGAAAUCCCCGGGCUUAACCUGGGAACUGCAUCUGAUACUGUCAGGCUAGAGUAGGUGAGAGGAAGGUAGAAUUCCAGGUGUAGCGGUGAAAUGCGUAGAGAUCUGGAGGAAUACCGAUGGCGAAGGCAGCCUUCUGGCAUCAUACUGACACUGAGGCUCGAAAGCGUGGGUAGCAAAC
rnacentral:rRNA from 1 species